AACGAACGCUGGCGGCAUGCCUAACACAUGCAAGUCGAACGCGUGUAGCAAUACACGAGUGGCGGACGGGUGAGUAACGCGUGGGAACCUGCCCAGUGGUAGGGAAUAACUGCGGGAAACUGCAGCUAAUACCCUAUACGCCCUUUGGGGAAGGAUUCAUCGCCAUUGGAGGGGCCCGCGUCGGAUUAGCUAGUUGGCGGGGUAACGGCCCACCAAGGCAACCGAUCCGUAGCUGGUCNGAGAGGAUGAUCAGCCACACUGGGACUGAAACACGGGCCAUACUCCUACGGGAGGCAGCAGUGGGGAAUCUUGCGCAAUGGGCGAAAGCCUGACGCAGCAACGCCGCGU
rnacentral:rRNA from 1 species